CAUCCACUACACACUCACUGCAAUCAAAAGCAAACACAUAAUCACACCCCUGCAAUAAAACACUAAAAUGAUCUACAAACACCAACACUACACACAAAAAACACACCUGUAUUUAAAGUCCUACACUACAUACACAAACCCAUGCAUUCAGACGCAAACAUUAGAAACAAGUACACCACUACAUUCCAAUGGCAACAAUACAUACAAAUACAAAAACAUGCUUACAUUCAAACACUGCUCAAAUAUAACCCUGCAAUAAUGCGCAAGUGGUAGAUACCUAUCUAGCACAGCAUUGAAGUUCUCCGACGGAUGGAGAUCUGUGUUUUGGC